GAUGAACGCUGGCGGCGUGCCUAAUACAUGCAAGUCGAGCGAACAGACGAGGAGCUUGCUCCUCUGACGUUAGCGGCGGACGGGUGAGUAACACGUGGAUAACCUACCUAUAAGACUGGGAUAACUUCGGGAAACCGGAGCUAAUACCGGAUAAUAUAUUGAACCGCAUGGUUCAAUAGUGAAAGACGGUUUUGCUGUCACUUAUAGAUGGAUCCGCGCCGCAUUAGCUAGUUGGUAAGGUAACGGCUUACCAAGGCAACGAUGCGUAGCCGACCUGAGAGGGUGAUCGGACACACUGGAACUGAGACACGGUCCAGACUCCUACGGGAGGCAGCAGUAGGGAAUCUUCCGCAAUGGGCGAAAGCUUGACGGAGCAACGCCGCGUGAGUGAUGAAGGUCUUCGCAUCGUAAAACUCUGUUAUUAGGGAAGAACAAAUGUGUAAGUAACUAUGCACGUCUUGACGGUACCUAAUCAGAAAGCCACGGCUAACUACGUG
rnacentral:rRNA from 1 species